GAUGAACGCUAGCGAUAGGCUUACACAUGCAAGUCGAGGGGCAGCACAAGGUAGCUUGCUAUCUGGGUGGCGACCGGCGCACGGGUGCGUAACGCGUAUGCAACUUGCCCUAUACAGGAGGAUAACCCGUCGAAAGACGGACUAAUACUGCGUAUGCUCACAACUUGGCAUCAAGUGGUGAGGAAAGAAAUUCGGUAUAGGAUAGGCAUGCGUCCCAUUAGCUUGUUGGUGAGGUAACGGCUCACCAAGGCAACGAUGGGUAGGGGAACUGAGAGGUUUAUCCCCCACACUGGUACUGAGACACGGACCAGACUCCUACGGGAGGCAGCAGUGAGGAAUAUUGGUCAAUGGGCGCGAGCCUGAACCAGCCAAGUCGCGUGAAGGAUGACUGUCUUAUGGAUUGUAAACUUCUUUUAUACGGGAAUAACAAGAGUCACGUGUGACUCCCUGCAUGUACCGUAUGAAUAAGCAUCGGCUAACUCCGUG
rnacentral:rRNA from 1 species